rnacentral:rRNA from 2 species
GGUGAGGCGCGAAAAGCGUGGGGAGCGAACAGGAUUAGAUACCCUGGUAGUCCCCCCGUAAACGAUGAGUGUUAAGUGUUAGAGGGUUUCCGCCCUUUAGUGCUGCAGCAAACGCAUUAAGCACUCCGCCUGGGGAGUUCGGUCGCAAGAAUGAAACUCAAAGGAAUUGGCGGGGGCCCGCCCAAGCGGUGGAGCAUUUGGUUUAAUUGGAAGCAACGGGAAGAACCUUACCAGGUCCUGACAUCCUUCGGUCAUUGUAGAGAUAGAAGGUUCCCUUUCGGGGGACGAAGUGACAGGUGGUGCAUGGUUGUCGUCAGCUCGUGUCGUGAGAUGUUGGGUUAAGUCCCGCAACGAGCGCAACCCUUGAUCUUAGUUGCCAGCAUUCAGUUGGGCACUAUAAGGUGACUGCCGGUGACAAACCGGAGGAAGGUGGGGAUGACGUCAAAUCAUCAUGCCCCUUAUGACCUGGGCUACACACGUGUUACAAUGGAUGGUACAAAGGGAUGCAAGACCGCGAGGUCAAGCCAAUUCCAUAAAACCAUUCUCAGUUCGGAUUGCAGGCUGCAACUCGCCUGCAUGAAGCCGGAAUCGCUAGUAAUCGCGGAUCAGCAUGCCGCGGUGAAUACGUUCCCGGGCCUUGUACACACCGCCCGUCACACCACGAGAGUUUGUAACACCCGAAGUCGGUGGGGUAACCGUA